rnacentral:rRNA from 1 species
UACGUAGGUGGCAAGCGUUAUUCGGAUUUAUUGGGCGUAAAGCGUGCGUAGGCGGCUGUUUAAGUCUGGUGUUAAAGCUAGGGGCUCAACCCCUGUGAUGCACUGGAUACUGGGCAGCUUGAGUGCGGUAGGGGAAGGUGGAAUUCCGAGUGUAGCGGUGAAAUGCGUAGAUAUUCGGAAGAACACCGGUGGCGAAGGCGACCUUCUGGGCCGCAACUGACGCUGAGGCACGAAAGCCUGGGGAGCGAACGGG